UACGGAGGGUGCAAGCGUUAUCCGGAUUCACUGGGUUUAAAGGGUGUGUAGGCGGAUAUUUAAGUCAGUGGUGAAAUCUCCAGGCUCAACCUGGAAACUGCCAUUGAUACUAUUUAUCUUGAAUUCUGUUGAGGUGGGCGGAAUACAUCAUGUAGCGGUGAAAUGCUUAGAUAUGAUGUAGAACACCGAUUGCGAAGGCAGCUCACUAAGCAGAACAUUGACGCUGAGGCACGGAAAGCGUGGGGAUCAAACAGG
rnacentral:rRNA from 1 species